CAGUAGCCGCGGUAAUACGAAGGUCCCGAGCGUUGUUCGGAAUCACUGGGCGUAAAGGGAGCGUAGGCGGCGUGGUAAGUCAGAUGUGAAAUCCCGGGGCUCAACCCCGGAACUGCAUCCGAUACUGCCGUGCUAGAGGAUUGGAGAGGUAGCUGGAAUUCUUGGUGUAGCAGUGAAAUGCGUGGAGAUCAAGAGGAACACUCGUGGCGAAAGCGAGCUACUGGACAAUAUCUGACGCUGAGGCUCGAAGGCCAGGGUAGCGAAAGGGAUUAGAUACCCCAGUAGUCCCUGUCUCUUAUAC
rnacentral:rRNA from 1 species